rnacentral:lncRNA from 13 species
CCAUUCUUGAACAUAUUGAUGGGUCAGAUGAUACAAAUGUCUCAGGUAGUGGUAUAUUUUCUGUAUGUAGCAGAGGUGGUUGGGUGUAACCUUGGCUGAGGCCUGAAUACUGGUAUUAGCUCUCAGGGGUAAUGCCUUGGCUUUAGUUCAGUGGGCUAACAGUCGUGAGGGCACAGGUUGGAUACCUGGACAGUCACCAAUAGACCAUACAGUCGUUUCAUUCUACCCCUGCUUGUUUUCAGAUUGGGGGCGUUCUCAGGUUAUGGACAUCUCUCCACUAAUGUCCUUUAAAAACAGGUCACUUGUACUAGGCCACCAUUUUACAUUUUGNNNNNNNNNNACCGUCAGCUCGUAGAUCUUCCCGAACUGUUCAAAGAUCGGUUUGAGGUCCUUCUCCUCUAGAUUCCGAGGAAUCUGCCCCACGAACAGCUUGAUCGCGUCGGCUUCCUUCAUCGGGAGACAGCGGGGAGAACGACAGGCGCUCUGCGGGGUUCGAGGUGAGAAGAGCGGGGAAGCAGUACACUCAGUGAGCCCGCCCCUCCUCCAUACGAAGGGUGACUGGGUGUCGAGGGGCAGGUCGGUACGAGGUGGGAUUCGAGCAUUCCGAUUGGGUACUGAGCCUCGGGGGCGGGAGCUCUCAGCUGUCCAUCUGUCUGAGGAAGAAGAGGAGGAGGAGGAAGAGGAUGAAGAGGAGAUGGGGGGAGGAGGGAUAGGGUCUUCCACUGUUACAAUGAGAGAACCUGAGAGCGAGAGAGAGAGAGAGACAGACAGAGAGAGAGAGAGAGAGAGACAGAGAGAGAGAGAGAUGUAGAGAGAGAUGUAGAGAGAGAGAGAGAGAAAUGGAAGGAACGGAACAAAUAAAAACAGAGAGUGAAUCACUUGUUCGAGCUGAUGAUGUAAAAAUGAUGUUAUUUUUAGUUUCAGACACACCUCACUUCUCUCACCCCUUUCCCUAACCCUUCUCUCCCUCUAGCCAAACUUUUCUCCCCCUCACCCCUGGCCUUCAAUUCCCUCCCCCUGCUGCCCUAACCCUUCUCUCCCUCUAGCCAAACUUUUCUCCCCCUCAACCCUGGCCUUCAAAUCCCUCCCCCUGCUGCCCUAACCCUUCUCUCCCUCUAGCCAAACUUUUCUCCCCCUCACCCCUGGCCUUCAAUUCCCUCCCCCUGCUUCUCUAACCCUUCUCUCCCUCUAGCCAAACGUUUC